rnacentral:tRNA from 1 species
GCGGGUGUGGCGGAAUUGGUAGACGCGCCAGACUUAGGAUCUGGUGACGCGAGUCAUAGGGGUUCGAGUCCCUUCACCCGCACCA